rnacentral:rRNA from 1 species
CGAAGGUGGCAAGCGUUGUUCGGAUUUACUGGGCGUACAGGGAGCGUAGGCGGUCGGAUAAGCCCUCCGUGAAAUCUCCAGGCUUAACCUGGAAAGUGCAGAGGGGACUGUUCAGCUAGAGGAUGGGAGAGGAGCGCGGAAUUCCCGGUGUAGCGGUGAAAUGCGUAGAGAUCGGGAGGAAGGCCGGUGGCGAAGGCGGCGCUCUGGAACAUUUCUGACGCUGAGGCUCGAAAGCGUGGGGAGCAAACAGGAUUAGAUACCCUGGUAGUCCACGCCUUAAACGAUGGAUACUAAGUGUCGGCGGGUUACCGCCGGUGCCGCAGCUAACGCAGUAAGUAUCCCGCCUGGGAAGUACGGCCGCAAGGUUG